GUUUUAAUAGUUUAAAAAAAACGAUGGUCUUGUAAACCAGAAAUAAGACAAAGCCCCCCUUUUAAAACU
rnacentral:tRNA from 1 species